CCUACGGGGUGCAGCAGUGAGGAAUAUUGGUCAAUGGCCGAGAGGCUGAACCAGCCAAGUCGCGUGAGGGAAGAAUGUCCUAUGGAUUGUAAACCUCUUUUGUCAGGGAGCAAAGUCACCCACGUGUGGGUGUUGGAGAGUACCUGAAGAAAAAGCAUCGGCUAACUCCGUGCCAGCAGCCGCGGUAAUACGUAGGGGGCGAGCGUUGUCCGGAAUGACUGGGCGUAAAGGGAGUGUAGGCGGCAUAUUAAGUUAUGUGUGAAAGCCCGCGGCUCAACCGCGGAAUUGCACAUAAAACUGGUAAGCUGGAGUGCAGGAGAGGUAAGUGGAAUUCCCGGUGUAGCGGUGGAAUGCGUAGAUAUCGGGAGGAACACCAGAGGCGAAGGCGACUUACUGGACUGUAACUGACGCUGAGGCUCGAAAGCGUGGGGAGCAAACAGGAUUAGAUACCCCAGUAGUC
rnacentral:rRNA from 1 species